rnacentral:snoRNA from 1 species
AAGACCAUACUUUCAGGGAUCAUUUCUAUAGUUCAUUACUAGAGAAAUUUCUCUGAUCAUGUAGAGCACCUGAAACUAUGAGGAGGACCCAGAUUCUCUCUUGGGUGUGAAGCCCACUCAAGGUGUUGCUUUUGAAACUGCCUUUUACCAUUGAUGAUUGUUCUUCUCUUCCUCUGGAAGAGUUAGAGGGAGAGGAUGUAGUCUUAGUGG